GGCUGUGAAUCACUGCAGGCUCCCUGAUAAGCUGCUGCCUUCAGCCCUGCACAGCUGUGGGUUGAGAGAUAACAGCCUCAGAUGCCUCUCAGCCCAAGUCCAAGUCUGGAGGGGGUGGGGGUAUGCUGUGUGCUGUGGAAGUCGGGGAGCUGUGCAGCAUACAGCUCAGGAUCUUCAGGGCAGGCGCUACCCCGUGGAACUCAGCACCUCUGGAAAGGAGAUGGGAGAGAACACAUUUGUCUCCCAAAAAAGUUGGUGAUGGCAUUGUCAAGGCUACUGGUGACUGGAAAGGUCUCAGGAUUACAGUGAAACUGACCAUCCAGAACAGAAAGGUCCAGAUUGAGGUGGUGCCCUCUGCCUCUUCCCUGAUCAUUUUGCCUUUGAGUUUUCGAAAGCCCAUGCCAUUUUUGAGUUUCAGUCUCACCACGUCAUUCUGGCCUGGGAUUGUGGAUCGAAUGUAAGUUCUCAGCUAGAGCUGGCAUGCCAUGACUGCCUCUCUGCCUGCCUGCCUGCCUGCCUGCAUGCCUCUCUGCCUGCCUGCCUGCCUGCUGCCUGCCUGCCUGCCUGCUGCCUGCCUGCCUGCGGCCAUGCUCUCAGUCAUGAUGGUCAUAAACUCACACUCUGAAACUGUAAGCAAAUCCACAAUUAAAUGCUUUCUCUUUUUUUUUUUUUUUUUCUUUUUUUUCUCGGAGCUGAGGACCGAACCCGGGGCCUUGUGCUUGCUAGGCAAGCGCUCUACCACUGAGCUAAAUCCCCAACCCCUUAAAUGCUCUCUUUUAUAAGUUGCCUUGGUCACUGAGUCUUUUCACAACAGCAGAAAAGUUACUGAGACAGGUCCUAUCCACCACAUGACAGUUAGUUAAUUAAUUAACUAAUUAAUUAAUUAUUAAAAAUAAAUUCAUUGAAAUAGGGCAAGUCUUUAAUCUAAAAUGUGAUCCUGGGGCUGGAGAAAUAGCUCAACAGUUAAGAGUGUGUAUUGCUCUUGCAAAGACCCAAGUUCAGCUCACAACUGUCUGUAAUUCCAGCUCUAGAGGGAUCCCAGUACCUCUGACCUCUGAGGGCACAAACACGCAUGUACACAAACACCUACUCAGACACACAUAAUUAAAAAUAAUAAAAUCUUUAAACUCUGGUCUUGUAAGAGGAUAGACAUGCAAACAGAUACAGAGAGGGAAGAAAAAAUAAUCUAGAUGUAAUCUAGAGAUAACAAUGAGUUAUAUCAAUCAACGAGCUAAGGAGUUCAGAGGACCACCAGCAAAGAACAGAAGAUGAGAAAGACAUGGGCAAGAUUCUUCCGUAAGAAUCCAAGUACACAACCAUAUGCUGAUUUCAGUCCUACUGUAGAUCAGGCUGGCAUCAAACUUGAAGAGAUCUUCCUGCCUCUACCUCCCUAGUGCUGGGAUUAAAGGCAUUUCCCACCAUACCUGGCUUCUUUGAGUUUGAAGUCUAGGGGAUCUUGUUACUGAGGCUGAAGGUAACAGACACAGUAAGUUUUCUCAUUACCUCUAGUGAAAACUAGGAAGAAAGAGCAUGGAGUAGCUGUUGAGGUAUCUGUUAUCGAAAUGUCCAUCCAUCCCUACAAGGAGGGUUUACUCUGGGUUGUGUUAGGUAUUUCUGGUGUGUCUGAAAGGAAAAAGUUUGAAAUUGCCCCCUAGACAAAAGUUGAAGACAAAAGCAGGCCGUGGAACUGCCUGUUCCAGAAACUAGCUGAUCACAGAAAGAGUAAUUGCACCAGCUGGUUCAGCCACUUUGUUCCAGGAACUAGCUAACCAUAAUAGCAGCUGACCAUAAUAGCAACUGACCAUAAUAGCAGGAACUGGUUAGCCAUAAAGUUAGAUUAAAGUCUUAAAGAACAAUCUUGAGAAACAGGAGGUUCUUCCUUGUGAUUCGGUAUGAUUUUUCCUUUAAAUACCCCUUCUUCCAACCAUUCGAGAUCGAACUCCUCUACCCCUGCGUGGGAUACGAGUCUCGACCCCAGUGCACUGGUUUCUGUCAUUCCCUAUCAAUAAACCUCUUGUUGAUUGCAUC